AGGCUACCGCUAUUGGAGUUCGAUUAAGCCAUGCGAGUCGCGAGUCUUAGGGACUCGGCGUACCGCUCAGUAACACGUGGGUAACCUGCCCUAUGCUGGGGGAUAACCUCGGGAAACUGAGAAUAAUACCCCAUAGUUCACUACGCCUGGAACGGUGAGUGGAUGAAAGCCCCGGCGGCAUAGGAUGGGCCUGCGGCGUAUCAGGUCGUAGGGGGUGUAACGUACCCUCUAGCCAUCGACGCGUACGGGUGUUGGGAGACAUAGCCCGGAGAUGGAUUCUGAGACACGAAUCCAGACCCUACGGGGUGCAGCAGGCGCGAAAACUUGGCAAUGCGAGAAAUCGUGACCAGGGAACUCCAAGUGGCUGGGGUAAGACCCAGUCUUUUCUUGACUCUUCAAAGGUCUUGGAAUAAGAGGUGGGUAAGGACGGUGCCAGCCGCCGCGGUAAUACCGGCGCCUCAAGUGGUAGUCGAUUUUAUUGGGCCUAAAACGUCCGUAGCCUGUUUGGUACAUUCGUGGGUAAAUCAACCAGCUCAACUGGUUGAAUUCUGCGAGCACGGCCAGACUUGGGACCGGGAGAGGUGUGGGGUACGCUCAGGGUAGGGGUAAAAUCCUGUCAUCCUGAGCGGACCACCUGUUGCGAAGGCGCCACACUAGAACGGAUCCGACGGUCAGGGACGAAGCCUAGGGGCACGAACCGGAUUAGAUACCCGGGUAGUCCUAGGUGUAAACGCUGUGGACUUGGUGUUGGGGAUGAUCCGAUCAUUCUCAGUGCCGAAGCGAAGGUGAUAAGUCCACUGCCUGGGGAGUACGGUCGCAAGGCUGAAACUUAAAGGAAUUGGCGGGGGAGCACCGCAACCUGAGGAUUGUGCGGUUU
rnacentral:rRNA from 1 species